rnacentral:rRNA from 1 species
UACGUAGGGUGCAAGCGUUGUCCGGAAUUAUUGGGCGUAAGAGCUCGUAGGCGGUUUGUCGCGUCUGCUGUCGAAAUCUGGGGGCUCAACCCCCCAGCCUGCAGUGGGUACGGGCAGACUAGAGUGCGGUAGGGGAGAUUGGAAUUCCUGGUGUAGCGGUGGAAUGCGCAGAUAUCAGGAGGAACACCGAUGGCGAAGGCAGAUCUCUGGGCCGUAACUGACGCUGAGGAGCGAAAGCAUGGGGAGCGAACAGG